UCAGGCCCAGUGGUGCAUCUCGCUACAACCAAGAAUGUGGCUUGGAGAUUGGUUAAUUUGUCUUAUGGUUAUUUUUAGAUUAACUAACUAUACUAGCAUGGAUUAACCUGAAUUUGUGUGCUCGUUUACAUUUUGUUGUGAUUUGUACUUCCAUUUUUAUUGACACUGCAGCAUAUGAUUAGUGCUAUAGUUUAUAGUGUGUGUAAUUUACGAUGUUGCCCACGUAAAACAACAUACUGAAAUAAUAUCCAAGGUUGAUAGGACUUAAUAACUACCACAUUUACAGGAAGUAUGGUAAUACAUUCUUGUCAGCUGUCUGGGCAAAUCUUCUCUCGCAGAAUUGGAUUACAAUUGAAUGUCUUUUAUCUCUCACUUCUAACGAUGUCGCAAUCAGGCUAGACUGCACAGGAAGCUAUCAAUAGUCUCAAGAUAUGACAUAAUUUGGCAGAAUGAUAGUACUUUGAAGUCGAGUUCUCGAUACAGGGAGCUGCUGGUAAACUACCGUCGCUAUACAUGGACUAUGACUACAGUCUACAAUCCUACUCUUUUAACAAAUUACAUACAUAUAUUGAGAGGACUACUUCAUCACAAGCAAAAAAAUUGCCAUCGGUAAAUAAGGUCUGUCUUCUAUAACCACGAUGAAAAGAAAAGCUGGGCGAAAACAUUUGAGACUGCAGAACUGGAACAUUCUUUAUUUGAAGACAGUGACUGCUGAGCUGUAUCAAAUCUAUUAGCAUCAUUGCAGCUUCGAUCAGAAACAUAAUUUAAAAACUAUGGCAAUGGAAGUCAGCCGAUGUCAGAGUAAAAGCCAGCCGAAG